rnacentral:misc_RNA from 1 species
GAUGAAGAACGUAGCGAAAUGCGAUAAGUAAUGUGAAUUGCAGAAUUCAGUGAAUCAUUGAAUCUUUGAACGCACAUUGCGCCCGCCAGUAUUCUGGCGGGCAUGCCUGUUCGAGCGUCAUUUCAACCCUCAGGCCCCCAGUGCCUGGUGUUGGGGAUCGGCCCAGCCUUCCUGUAAGGCCGCCGGCCCCGAAAUCUAGUGGCGGUCUCGCUGUAGUCCUCCUCUGCGUAGUAGCACAACCUCGCAGUUGGAACGCGGCGGUGGCCAUGCCGUUAAACACCCCACUUCUGAAAGUUGACCUCGGAUCAGGUAGGAAUACCCGCUGAACUUAAGCAUAUCAAUAAGCGGAGGA